rnacentral:rRNA from 1 species
CCUACGGGAGGCAGCAGUAAGGGAUAUUGGUCAAUGGGGGAAACCCUGAACCAGCAACGCCGCGUGAGGGAAGACGGUUUUCGGAUUGUAAACCUCUGUCCUCUGUGAAGAUGAUGACGGUAGCAGAGGAAGAAGCCCCGGCUAACUACGUGCCAGCAGCCGCGGUAAUACGCAGGGGGCAAGCGUUAUCCGGAUUUACUGGGUGUAAAGGGGGCGCAGACGGCGAUGCAAGCCAGGAGUGAAAGCCCGGGGCCCAACCCCGGGACUGCUGUUGGAACUGCGUGGCUGGAGUGCAGGAGGGGCAGGCGGAAUUCCUGGUGUAGCGGUGAAAUGCGUAGAUAUCAGGAGGAACACCGGUGGCGAAGGCGGCCUGCUGGACUGCAACUGACGUUGAGGCCCGAAAGCGUGGGGAGCAAACAGGAUUAGAUACCCGGGUAGUC